rnacentral:lncRNA from 1 species
UAAAAGAUUUGUCGCUAGGAGAUCUACACCAAGGAUUAUGUUGUCCGAUAAUGCAACAACCUUCAAGGCAGCCGCCGAAAAGAUUACAAGAUCAAGCCAAGACAACCGAAUACAAGAAAAACUUGCCGAUCAAGGAACUGAGUGGAAAUUCAUACCCAACCGAGCACCGUGGUUUGGAGGCUUUUGGGAACGCCUAAUUGGACUCACGAAAAAGUCAAUUAAAG